rnacentral:rRNA from 1 species
UACGAAGGGGGCUAGCGUUGUUCGGAUUUACUGGGCGUAAAGCGCACGUAGGCGGAUUGUUAAGUCAGGGGUGAAAUCCUGGAGCUCAACUCCAGAACUGCCUUUGAUACUGGCAAUCUUGAGUCCGGAAGAGGUGAGUGGAACUCCUAGUGUAGAGGUGGAAUUCGUAGAUAUUCGCAAGAACACCAGUGGCGAAGGCGGCUCACUGGCCCGGAACUGACGCUGAGAUGCGAAAGCGUGGGGAGCAAACAGG